GAUGAACGCUGGCGGCGUGCCUAAUACAUGCAAGUCGAGCGAACAGACGAGGAGCUUGCUCCUCUGACGUUAGCGGCGGACGGGUGAGUAACACGUGGAUAACCUACCUAUAAGACUGGGAUAACUUCGGGAAACCGGAGCUAAUACCGGAUAAUAUAUUGAACCGCAUGGUUCAAUAGUGAAAGACGGUUUUGCUGUCACUUAUAGAUGGAUCCGCGCCGCAUUAGCUAGUUGGUAAGGUAACGGCUUACCAAGGCAACGAUGCGUAGCCGACCUGAGAGGGUGAUCGGCCACACUGGAACUGAGACACGGUCCAGACUCCUACGGGAGGCAGCAGGAGGGAAUCUUCCGCAAUGGGCGAAAGCCUGACGGAGCAACGCCGCGUGAGUGAUGAAGGUCUUCGGAUCGUAAAACUCUGUUAUUAGGGAAGAACAAAUGUGUAAGUAACGAUGCACGUCUUGACGGUACCUAAUCAGAAAGCCACGGCUAACUACGU
rnacentral:rRNA from 1 species